CCUAUUUGUCUGUCUCCGUACAGGCUUUUCCUUCUGGCUGGAAUGGACUCCUCUCGACUUCCCUUUUCUCACCUCUGCUUGAAAUAUGUGCACCUUUUCAUAAUGGGUGGGAGAAGGAAUGUUCUCUGGAGAAAUCUGUAUGAUAGAAUAGUGAAGGUAACUGGCCUGAACUACAGCUCUUGAGCCAUCUGGUUUCACCUUCAGGGAGGUCCCACUGAAGCUGAAUGACUGUGCAGGUUGAUACACUGGACAUUUUCGGUGAAACCUGUGUGAACAGACAACUGGAGGGUCAGAUGAUUUAUCCUCUCCCCAGUACCUUGGCACAAGCCUAGGCUACAGAAUGAGAUGCACGUAAGAAGUCUGUGACCUGGACCAGAGCAGCCCAGCUGAACACAUGCUGGAUUGGAAGAACCACCUUUGACCUGAAGACCUCUUCAGGAGAGAUUUGAUGAAAAAAAUUAUAUUUUGGCAUCAUCUUGACUCUUGAACUUACUCCCAGAUCAGCUACAAAUUUGUCCUAUGGCCUGAGGCACUGAAAACACGACAGAGCUCUGCAAUAAUUUCCAGUCAGACCAGACAACCUAGUUAUUCCCUUUUCCCAGGUGUCCCGGUGACCUAUAUUAUUGUCAACAACAAGGCAUUACUUCAGCUUCAAGUCUUGCAAAAUCUACUGGAUUGGAAGACCAGAUAUUCAUUUCACCAUUUAGCUGAAAAUGCACAGUACAUUUUAGAAUGAUGGGGUUUGUUUAGCUCAUCUAUCCGUCCAUCCUUACUUUUAUUCUAUUGGGUUCUUAAUUCAAAAGAAAGACUGCCACCUACUGGAUGUGUGAUACGAAGAAGAUAUUAGCAUUAAAAUAUACUCUCUCAUUAAAGGUUGAUUCAAAAUAAUUGCAGAAGAAAAUAUUCAAAAGAAUGUCCAAUUUUUACAGAUAAGUAUUGAACAUAUUUCCUUAAAUGAUUUUAUUAUCAGCAAAUACUGAAUAAAAAUUAUUUAACAAUGUCCAUCUAAUUAUUUAGAAAUAAAAUUCCUUCUUCCUGUUCUUAUUUUAAUACAUUAAAAAUUAAUUUACCUUUUUUCCAGUAAUAGGGAAUAAUUAAGUAUUCUCUUAUGUUGUCUGUAUAAAAAUAGAAUAAUGAUCUUGACAAUUUAAUACUAUUUUGUGAUACAAAAACUCAGGUUAUAGAAAUACUA
rnacentral:lncRNA from 10 species